rnacentral:rRNA from 1 species
UACGUAGGGGGCAAGCGUUGUCCGGAUUUAUUGGGCGUAAAGAGCGUGUAGGCGGUUAGAUAGGUCGGUUGUGAAAACUGGAAGCUCAACCUCCAGACGUCGACCGAAACCAUCUGGCUAGAGUCCGGAAGAGGAGAGUGGAAUUCCUGGUGUAGCGGUGGAAUGCGCAGAUAUCAGGAAGAACACCCGUGGCGAAGGCGGCUCUCUGGGACGGUACUGACGCUGAGACGCGAAAGCGUGGGGAGCGAACAGGAUUAGAUACCCUGGUAGUCCACGCCGUAAACGAUGGGUGCUAGGUGUGGGGGGUGUCGACUCCCCCCGUGCCGCAGCUAACGCAUUAAGCACCCCGCCUGGGGAGUACGGCCGCAAGGCUA